rnacentral:sRNA from 1 species
AAAAAUACCCCCUAAGCAGAGUAAUGCAUUUUGUUAUUAAGGAAUAGAAAUGCAAAUUUUGAGUGUGAAAAUUUGAUCUAGUAAACAAAAAUCAACCUCUAAGACCCUUUUAACCUAAAAUUGUUUUCAGAGUCUUCAUGUCUUUUCAUAUGUUCAUCCCUUUCUUUUUUUUUUUUUUUUUUUUUUUUUGUUUGAGACAUAGUCUCACUCUGUCACCCAGGCUGGAAUGCAAUGGCACAAUCUCAGCUCACUGCAACCUCCACCUCCCAGGAGGAUUGCUUGAGGCCAGGAGUUCGAGACCAGCCUGAGCAACAUAGUGAGGCCCCAUCUCUACAGAAGUUUUUAUAAAUU